rnacentral:rRNA from 1 species
AGAGUUUGAUCCUGGCUCAGAACGAACGCUGGCGGCGCGCCUAACACAUGCAAGUCGUACGCGAAAGGGGGCAACCCUGAGUAGAGUGGCGCACGGGUGAGUAACACGUGGGUAAUCUGUCCUCGAGUGGGGGAUAACGUCCCGAAAGGGGCGCUAAUACCGCAUAAACUCCUAGAGUCCCUGGACUCCGGGAGCAAAGAUGGCCUCUGCUUGCAAGCUGUCACUUGAGGAGGAGCCCGCGCCCCAUUAGGUAGUUGGUAGGGUAAUGGCCUACCAAGCCUGCGAUGGGUAGCCGGCCUGAGAGGGUGGUCGGUCACACUGGCACUGAGACACGGGCCAGACUCCUACGGGAGGCAGCAGUGAGGAAUCUUGGGCAAUGGGCGAAAGCCUGACCCAGCGACGCCGCGUGGGUGAUGAAGGCCUUCGGGUCGUAAAACCCUGUGAGUUGGGAAGAAGCCAGGUGGUGUUAAUACCAUCAUCUGGUGACAGUACCAGCAGAGGAAGCCCCGGCUAACUACGUGCCAGCAGCCGCGGUAAAACGUAGGGGGCUAGCGUUGUUCGGAAUUACUGGGCGUAAAGCGCGUGUAGGCGGUUCGAUAAGUCGGAAGUGAAAGCCCUCGGCUCAACCGGGGAACUGCUUUCGAAACUGUCGAGCUUGAGUGUGGGAGGGGAGAGCGGAAUUCCAGGUGUAGCGGUGAAAUGCGUAGAUAUCUGGAAGAACACCGGUGGCGAAGGCGGCUCUCUGGACCACUACUGACGCUGAGACGCGAAAGCGUGGGUAGCAAACAGGAUUAGAUACCCUGGUAGUCC